rnacentral:lncRNA from 1 species
CCAGCUCGGAGAGGGGCGGAGAGCGGCCGGCGAGCGGGGAGGGCCGGAGGAGGGAGGUGCGGGCCGCGGGGAGGGGAAGCCCGGCGGCUGCCGCGCGCAGGGAGAGGCGCCGGGGCUACCGCCAGCCGCUCGGCGCGCUCUCGGGAGCCGCCUGUCCGCACGUCCCGCAGCCUUCCGGGAGGAAGCGGCGCCGGCAGCGGCAGAGGCUGCGCGCUCGGGCACCCUCACCUGCGGGCGCCGGACCGAUUCCCCAGCGGGACGCGCGUUGGGCCGGGUGCCGGACCGCCUGGCCGCGGAGGCAGAGGAAGACCCGGCGGCCCGCGCCGCAGCCCAGCAGCCCCGGAUCGUCUCGGACCCCGCGCAGGGCGCCGGCUCCAUGGCGACCGGGCUCGGGGAGCCGGUCUACGGACUUUCCGAAGACGAGGUGAGCGGCACCCCCUCCCGCCCGGGACUCCCCGGGGAGUUCCGCCCCGCGCCGGCAGGGGAGGGAUCGGGGCUACCCCUGGGCUGCACGUCUCCCGAGCCUGCAGGGGGGCCCCAGAAACAGGAGCGCCCGGGAGCAGGGUCGGGGGAGAGGGGCUUGGGUCCUUUUCCCCUCCAGCCGAGCGCAUUGUUUGUAAAUAAAGCGGCCCGACGCCCUUGGAACCCCGGUUCACUCCGCCUCUCCCCGCUUUUGGGAUGGGCUGAAGGCUCUUGUGUCUCUUUGCCCCGCGGGUCCCCUUCCUCUCUGAGCCUUGUCUCCUGAGGCUGUUGGGCAACUUUGCGCCUCUCGUCCCUGCAGCCCGGAGUCCAUGAUGCGUGUCACGUCUGGGUCGCGGCAGGAGACCCGCGCGGUGCGGGGGAUCAGGGGCUGCGGAGGACCCUGAUCGUUCCCCCCGGAACUUUCUAAGGAUCCUGUCUGCAGGCUAUCAGAAGCGUGUGUGUGCUGAUCCUGGUGGUAGUGGGGGAGACGCCGGGAGCUGCGUGUGGCCGUUCCUCUGUCUUGCAAAGUCUGAAACCUGGAUUGUGCAUUUCGGAGCCUCUUUUUUGGUGGAGGGCCCAACGAAGGUGGCAGGUGCUGCUCGAAACUUGGAGGAAGCCUGCAGUCCUGCCAACCCCCCUCCCCCAACCCCAAGGAUUUAAAGCCCGGCACCUCCGGGGUGGGUGGAGAGAGGAACGCUCCAUUGAUCUCUUUUAUUAAUAAAGCGAAUGUAAUAAGCCACGCCCCCAAACGGUUGGUUUCAUUGGAAAGGGCUUUGUUUUUUACCCUCACUCUCUCCUCCGGUUUCCCACUCCCCCUUUUGAAACAAUCCUGCUAAAUCACUGC